CGCCUGUUUAUCAAAAACAUGUUUUCUAGAUUUUUUUAGAAGUUUAACCUGCUCUAUGAUUUUAAAUGGCCGCGGUAUUUUAACUGUGCUAAGGUAGCAUAAUAAUUAGUCUUUUAAUUGAGGUCUGGUAUGAAUGGUUGGACGAAGUAUAUGCUUUCUUUAAUUUAAAUUAUGAAUUUAAUUUUUUAGUUAAAAAGCUAAAAUGUAUUUGGGGGACGAGAAGACCCUAUAGAUCUUUAUAUUUUAUUUUAUUUUGUAUUUUGGUAUUGAUUAAUUAUUUUAAUAAUCUAAUGUAUUUGAUUGGGGUGAUUGUAGAAUUUUAAUUAACUUCUAUUUUUUAUAUUCAUUAAUUAAUGUUUUUUUGAUCCAAUUUUAUUGAUUACAAGAUUAAGUUACCUUAGGGAUAACAGC
rnacentral:rRNA from 1 species